CCGCCAGGGUGCCUAGUGCGGAGCGGCUCUGCCCCCGGCUGCCCGUCCCUCCUAUACUGAGGCUGAGUAUUCGCGGGGGGCCUGGAGACAGAUUCCCCCUAUAGGAUUUAGGUAGGGUGGUGGAGCUUCCUACACCCCCGCCGCCCCCUCUAUCCUGUCCACCGCCGCGUCCUCUCAGGUACUGGGCUGCAAACCUGUGAGCCUGCGAUUCCUCUCCGGCCUGCACCUCACGGCUCCGAACCCAGCAGUAUUUUAGGCACAGAGGUGGCAUGGCAAACAGAAGAAGCUCCAACUCAUCGAGAAACAUACAUGCAAAAGCUAGAACAUACUGACAAUCCAUACUGAGCGGCAACUGAGUGAAGUCCAGCUGCAGUUGUUCAAAGGGUCCAGAGGAGGAAGAAGCAGAAUGGACUUUAUCCACAUGUGCCACAAUUUUCUAUAGAUCCUGCUGCCGCUGCCUGAAAGUUUGCAGGAAAUCAGUAGGGGCAUUUCCCUAAUUCAGAUUCUGUCCAAGUUCUGGCCAAAUCAGUAUGGGCAGAAGUCACAUCUACCACCUCCAGGCCUGGCCCUUUAAACUUCUUGCAUGAUCUGGGGCUGAAGAUAACCAGCCGAGAACUCCAAGGCCCUAAGGACGAUGAAGCGCCAGAUGGGAGGUACCUGAGCCCUCCAUUGACUGGGAGGAACAGAACCCCAGUGCUGCCGCUCCCCACCCUCACCUUGACUGUGACUUGAGCAGAAAUCAAACUCUUAUUCUUAAGAAACAAUGUAACUGUAAGGUUGUCUGUUAUAGUAAUAGACCUGCCCCAGCUGACUCACUAAGUAAAAACGAAAGCUCUGUUUAAUGAAAAACUACAUUUGACCUUGAAGAAUAGGCAGCCUGGUGAAGGGAUUUUUCUAAAAAGGUGUAACAUAACAUAAAAAGAAGACAAGAAGCAGUCUUCCCGAACUGCCACUGCACCGAGCAGCUUUGACAUUUAACAGCACUUAACUAUCAAGUGGCAUUGACUGGUGGAGAAUACAGGAAGCAGCAGCAGUUUUUGAAGGGAGGAGGAAAUGGCCGUAAGGCCUGGCAGUCUUAACGGUACCAAGUGGGAGGGGUGGCAGCUGCUGGUGGACACGGCACUCCUGGUUCCAGGAAGAAACAGUGAAGGCUAGUGGAAGGGUCAGGACUAACAGAAGUGGUCAUAGUGUCCGGGGAAUGUUCAGUAUUAGACAACCAGAUUUGAUCAUGAGUCCAUGUAGGACGCUUAGUGAUUUUGAGCAAUACUUGGGAUAUCUCAAAGGUAACAGAACCAGCAAACAUGGAUUCCUUCUACAAGGUAUUGGAAACUUGGAAGACUGGGGAAGAGUACUCCCACUGCAGACCAAUGCAGGAAGAAAAGGAGGCUCAUGGGGCUUCAGCUGUGCUUUUUGGAAACAGUAUUUCUUCUCUUCACAGCAGGCUGGGUAGUCAGGCAGUUUGGGCCAUCCACAGGCAUACCUCCCCAGGCCCCCUGUGUCACUUCUCGGGGUGGCAAGCUAAGUUGGGAAGUCAGGAAGCCCUGGGCAUUUGUAUUUUCCACAGUGGCCUCAGUGGGUAUCUGGGUGAAGGCUCUCAC